rnacentral:lncRNA from 1 species
ACUCUCAUGUGGCCUCUCUCGAUGUGUGGUUCUACCAUAUGAUCUUUACAAAGAGAAUUUCUCAAUUGCAGAGUAAUCUACUUUUUCAAUCCACAAUGUCGACCGGUACUUCCUCGUAGGACAGAUCCUCCUGAAGUGGAAGAGCUUCGUGGGCCAAGACAUGAUAGGGGUCCGGGUUGUACUCACAUAGCAUGGACAUAUGAAUCACAUUAUAGACCCUGUAAAGUUCUAGAGGCAAUGUCAAUCUAUAGUUGGCGGUACCAAUUCUGUCUAAUAUUUCAAAUGGUUUAAUAAAUUGGGAAUUCAGUUUCUCCAUCUUGUCGAACUUACUGAUUUCUUUGAAGAGAGUGACUUUGAGGAAAACCCGAUCGCCUUUCUUAAAUUCCAAACCUUCCUCUAGGUGUCCGCAUAGCUCUUCUGCCUACUCUGAGCCAUUUGAAUGUUUUUCCUAAUUUUAACUAUUUGGGAUGUAGUCUCCUCUACCUGAUUUGGCCCGAAUAGUAUUCUAUCGCCCACUUCUUCUCAACAAAUUGGUGAUAUACAUGGGUGCCCAUAUAACGUCUCAUAUGAAACCAUGCCAAUACUCACUUGGUAGCUGUUGUUGUAAGCGAACUCUAUAAGGGGUAGAUGGUCAUCCCAAUGGCCCUCGGAAUCAAGGACACAAGCUCGGAGCAUAUCCUCAAGUGUGAGGAUUGUCCUUUCUU